rnacentral:rRNA from 1 species
GACGAACCGUGCGAACGUUAUUCGGAAUCAUUGGGCUUAAAGGGCGCGUAGGCGGGACGGCGCGUCGGCAGCUGAAAUCCCCCGGCUCAACCGGGGAACAGGCGCCGAUACGGCCGGUCCUGGAGGCGAGGAGGGGGACCCGGAACGUCCGGUGGAGCGGUGAAAUGCGUUGAGAUCGGACGGAACACCGACGGCGAAAGCAGGGUCCUGGACUCGUACUGACGCUGAGGCGCGAAAGCCAGGGGAGCGAACGGG